rnacentral:lncRNA from 1 species
AUGAACAAAGCUAGUAGAGCUGACAGAAUUCCAGUUGAGCUAUUUCAAAUCCUGGAAGAUGAUGCUGUGAAAAUGCUGCACUCAAUAUGCCAGCAAAUCUGGAAAACUCAGCAGUGGGCACAGGACUGGAAAAGGUCAGUUUUCAUUCCAAUUCCAAAGAAAGGCAAUGCCAAAGAAUGUUCAAACUACCACACAAUUGCACUCAUCUCACAUGCUAGCAAAGUAAUGCUCACAAUUCUCCAAGCCAGGCUUCAGCAAUACGUGAACCAUGAACUUUCAGAUGUUCAAGCUGGCUUUAGAAAGGGCAGAGGAACCAGAGAUCAAAUUGCCAACAUCCGCUGGAUCAUGGAAAAAGCAAGAGAGUUCCAGAAAAACGUCUAUUUCUGCUUUAUUGACUAUGCCAAAUCCUUUGACUUUGUGGAUCACAAUAAACUGUGGAAAAUUCUGAAAGAGAUGAAAAUACCAGACCACCUGACUUGCCUCUUGAGAAACCUGUAUGCAGAUGAGGAAGCAACAGUUAGAACUGGACAUGGAACAACAGACUGGUUCCAAAUAGGAAAAGGAGUACGUCAAGGCUGUAUGUUGUCACCCUGCUUAUUUAACAUAUAUGCAGAGUACAUCAUGAGAAAUGCUGGGCUGGAAGAAGCACAAGCUGGAAUCAAGAUUGCUGGGAGAAAUAUCAAUGACCUCAGAUAUGCAGAUGACACCACCCUUAUGGCAGAAAGUGAAGAGGAACUAAAAAGCCUCUUGAUGAAAGUGAAAGUAGAAAGCGAAAAAGUUGGCCUAAGCCUCAACAUUCAGAAAACGAAGAUCAUGGAAUCUGGUCCCAUCACUUCAUGGGAAAUAGAUGGGGAAACAGUGGAAACAGUGACAGACUUUAUUUUUGGGGGCUCCAAAAUCACUGCAGAUGGUGACUGCAGCCAUGAAAUUAAAAGACGCUUACUCUUUGGAAGGAAAGUUAUGACCAACCUAGAUAGCAUAUUCAAAAGCAGAGACAUUGCUUUGCCAACAAAGGUCCAUCUAGUCAAAGCUAUGGUUUUUCCAGUGGUCAUGUAUGGAUGUGAGAGUUGGACUGUGAAGAAAGCUGAGUUCCGAAGAAUUGAUGCUUUUGAACUGUGA